rnacentral:rRNA from 1 species
UUACCCCGCUUGAACUUAAGCAUAUCAAUAAGCGGAGGAAAAGAAACUAACAGGRUUCCCCUAGUAACUGCGAGUGAAGCGGGAAAAGCUCAAAUUUGAAAUCUGGCGGUCCUUGGCCGUCCGAGUUGUAAUCUAGAGAAGUGUUGCCCGUGCUGGACCAUGUACAAGUCUCCUGGAAUGGAGCGUCAUAGAGGGUGAGAAUCCCGUCUCUGACAUGGACUCCCAGUGCUUUGUGGUAUGCUCUCAAAGAGUCGAGUUGUUUGGGAAUGCAGCUCAAAAUGGGUGGUAAAUUCCAUCUAAAGCUAAAUAUUGGCGAGAGACCGAUAGCGAACAAGUACCGUGAGGGAAAGAUGAAAAGAACUUUGGAAAGAGAGUUAAACAGUACGUAAAAUUGCUGAAAGGGAAACGCUUGAAGUCAGUCGCGUUGGCCAGGAAUCAGCCUUGCAUUUGCUUGGUGUACUUUCUGGUUGACGGGUCAGCAUCAAUUUUGACUGCUGGAGAAAGGCCUGGGGAAUGUGACAGCUCCGGCUGUGUUAUAGCCCCUUGUCACAUACAGCAGUUGGGAUUGAGGAACUCAGCACGCCGAAAGGCCGGGUUUCGACCACGUCCGUGCUUAGGAUGCUGGCAUAAUGGCUUUAAGCGACCCGUCUUGAAACACGGACCAAGGAGUCUAACAUGCCUGCGAGUGUUUGGGUGGAAAAUCCGAGCGCGUAAUGAAAGUGAAAGUUGAGAUCCCUGUCAUGGGGGAGCAUCGACGCCCGGACCAGAACUUUUGGGACGGAUCCGCGGUAGAGCAUGUAUGUUGGGACCCGAAAGAUGGUGAACUAUGCCUGAAUAGGGUGAAGCCAGAGGAAACUCUGGUGGAGGCUCGUAGCGAUUCUGACGUGCAAAUCGAUCGUCAAAUUUGGGUAUAGGGG